UACGUAGGGUGCAGGCGUUAAUCGGAAUUACUGGGCGUAAAGCGUGCGCAGGCGGUUCGUUGUGUCGGUGGUGAAAUCCCCGGGCUUAACCUGGGAAUGGCCAUGGAAACUGGCGAACUGGAGUGCGGCAGAGGGGGGUGGAAUUCCACGUGUAGCAGUGAAAUGCGUAGAGAUGUGGAGGAACACCGAUGGCGAAGGCAGCCCCCCUGGGCUAACACUGACGCUCAUGCACGAAAGCGUGGGGAGCAAACAGG
rnacentral:rRNA from 1 species